ACUUGUAUGAGGGGGUACUUUUUCGUUUCGAUACUUAAUUUUCCUCUCAUAAGAUGUGCCGCAAUAACUCUUACCUAUUUGUGAUGCACCUUUUAUUAUGUAAAAUUAAUUAUGUUUUUUUUCUUUUAGGUUUUUUUUACUUGUACGAGAUCGGUAAGCUCAAUAUUUGGAAAAUAUAUUUUUGGCGUGUCUAUGUUAUGCUAGAUAUAAUGAGCUUCCUUGAGUUCAUGGAUUUUUAUCGCACCUAAGUGGUUUGAAGCACCAAUAAAUAAGCUCUAGAAGGAUUGAACUGGCUUCAACAACUUCCGAGAAAACUAGCCUGCAACUUCAUCUGGGGAAUGGAAUAUGAAUUUGCCACAGCCACAAACAAUAAGCGUAUCAGUAUGCUAUUCUGAAUGGAAUCGUAGUGUCCAGCGUACUCGCAAGCUUCCAACUACCAUUACCGUCACUGACCACCGCACUAGUACUGCUAGUAUAAUAUCAAUUCCAGCAGCGGUUCUCCCCGCAGCAGCAACAUCAAAGUCAGUCAGAGGCGAAUCUACCAAGCAAGCCUUUCUAUUAAAUUAAUUAAAAAUCAAAGUCAGUCGAUCAUUGAUAGUCAAUCCAGCAACCUAACGACAAUAGCUGCAGAAUGGAGAACAGGACCCUGAAUGAAAUUAUGAGUAGCGUAGAUAAAUCUAAGAGUCGAUCCGAGGCAUGGUUCCGGAAUUUUCUGUUGCUGCAACAACAGCGGUUCGAAGAGGCAAAGGAACAUGCCAAUAAGAAGAUGACAAAGAAGAAAUGAAGGAGUUGCCCCGUGCAAGACCGUGUGGGAAAGUGGAGAUAUAUUUUCUGCUACCCAAUUCUAUUGUUUGUUGAAGGUUGCAUACUGUUUACCGGAAUUCCAUUUACCGGAAAACCAUUUACCGGACUGCUAUUAACCGGAAUGAACCGUUUACUGGACUGCUUUUUACCGGAAUGAACCAUUUACCGGACUGACAUUAACCGGAAUGUACUAUUUACCGGAAUGUCAUUUACCGGAUUAAGAGUUUUAAGUACAAAUCUAUUAUUGUAUCCCGCUUACCCGUAAACUUUUGCCCAAAAUGGUUUUUAGGUUUUUAGGCAGGGUUUGGGUACUUUAAUUGAUUUUAUGCUUACCAGUGUCGCUUUUAAAAAUCGUUUUGGUAGACGACUCCUCACGCUACGCGUUCGAACUUCAAGGACGUAUUGUCCUCCACGCUGUUGGACAGGGCUAAGGGAUCACCCCUAGCUUUCACGCAGACCUAGAACCAUGUAUUAGAGCCGCCGCUUCCGACGACGGGUCGGCGGUCACCUCGGAUUUGGAAGCCUCGGUGGCUUUGUGCCGCCUCAGCCCCUUCAUCCUCGUUGGUUGCGACCUUGCCGCAAAUAAUAAUAUUGUAAAAACUUUUUUUUUUUAGAAAGAAGUUCUUUAUUCGAAUUCUAGUUUUCCAUUUUUUGUGAAAUUAUAAAUUCCAGUGAUAAAAAUUCUGGGGAAUGGUUCAGUCUGACGUAAAUUUUCGGGGAAUUGAGGUACGACCCAAAUUUAUUUGUAUUAAAGAAAAUCCGGUAAAUGGUAGUUCCGUUAAAUGGUUUUCCGGUAAAUGGUAUAGUCCGGUAAAUGGUUUUCUGGUAAAUGGUAUAGUCCGGUAAAUGGAAUUCCGGUAAAUAGUACACUCCGGUAAAUGGUAUUCCGGUCAAUGGUACUUACGGUAAAUGGAAUUCCGGUAAACAGUAUACAACAGUAUAAGUUUUAUCAUUAAGACAACUAUGUCAGAUGAUUUAAAAGCAACAAUAAACAAUAAACCUUUGUUGAAUGAUUUGAAGAUCCUUUUGCUUUUGUAUCCGUAGGUGCAUGAUCAUUAAUGGCCGUUUCUUUUGCCAUUGGACAUCAGACUGUUCCCUACGUACAAAAAGCUACAAAUCACGGGUGGACUUCUAUAACGAACGUCCUGCUAAUCUUUGACAACUGAUUUCAACGAGGACUAUUCACCAGUGGGCACAGUCGGUCAUUGAAUGCGCCAGUAUUUUUAGUGAUGUUGGGCUGAACUGACCGUGAAGCCACCCACGCAACAACCACAACAACAGCAACCAUCGUCACAGCAGGAUCAACAACAUUCCGGACACUUAUCUUAACUAGGCAGUUAAAUUGAAACUAGUUUUUUUAAUAAUAGGUUUGUUUAUUAAGACAUUUUACUUAUAAAGUUUCAUUUUGUCGAGUGGAUCACUUAUUAAUCUAUGUUAGAAGAGGGAGGAGCCGUAAUAGUUGUGGCGACUCAUCUGUUAGCUUUGAUUCUAAUUUGGAAGGGAACAUUAAUAGGAAACAUAUACAGGGGGGAGUUACAAAAGUAGACGACAAAGUCAGACAUUUUAAGAAAUUUGAAGAAAUUUGAAACGAGGUAAAAUAGAAGGAAAACAAGGCCUAAAAAAAUUAAGUGGAUAUUACAGGUUUAUUGAAUUUAUCAAGUAAACAACUGUAGGCAAAUAUGAUGAAUUGUAGUAUUGAGACUGCAUAACCAAACUCAUACAAUGAAUAUUGAUUCGGCCUUAAAAAGUUUAUCAUUAUACAAUUAUAUUUAAUAUAAGCUAUUAUUCGAAGCCUAAAAUAGAAGAAAAAACGUGAAAAA